rnacentral:rRNA from 1 species
UACGGAGGGGGCUAGCGUUGUUCGGAAUUACUGGGCGUAAAGCGCGCGUAGGCGGACUUUCAAGUCAGGGGUGAAAUCCCGAGGCUCAACCUCGGAACUGCCUUUGAUACUGCAAGUCUUGAGUCCGAGAGAGGUGAGUGGAAUUCCUAGUGUAGAGGUGAAAUUCGUAGAUAUUAGGAAGAACACCAGUGGCGAAGGCGGCUCACUGGCUCGGUACUGACGCUGAGGCGCGAAAGCGUGGGGAGCAAACAGG